GAUGAACGCUGACAGAAUGCUUAACACAUGCAAGUCUUUGGCGAAGCUGUGCUUGCACAGCCUAGCCAAGGCGGACGGGUGAGUAACGCGUAAGGAACUUGCCCUGCAGUCAGGGAUAACAGACGGAAACGACUGAUAAGACCUGGUAAAGUCAGGCGGACUCAUGUCCAGCCUGAUGAAAAGGGAUGCUGCAGGAGAGCCUUGCGUCCUAUUAGCUUGUUGGUGGGGUAACGGCCCACCAAGGCGAUGAGAGGUGGCCGGCCUGAGAGGGGGGACGGCCACAAGGGGACUGAGAGACGGCCCUUACGCCUACGGGAGGCAGCAGUGGGGAAUAUUGGACAAUGGGGGCAACCCUGAUCCAGCAAUUCGGUGUGCACGAUGAAGGUUUUCGGAUUGAAAAGUGCUUUCAGAAGGGAAGAAAAAAAUGACGGUACCUGCAGAAGAAGCGACGGCUAAAUACGUG
rnacentral:rRNA from 1 species